rnacentral:rRNA from 3 species
CCUAAGUCCAUGAAUGAGUAUGGUAAAUGGACAUGGCCCACAGAGGGUGACAGGCCCGUGGGGGUGGAGGUCAGGCAGGCCAGCGACGCCCUGGAUAGACCUUGGAGUCGGGUUGUUUGUGAUUGCCGCCCAAAGUGGGUGGUAAACUCCAUCUUAGGCUAAAUACUAGCACGAGUCCGAUAGCAAACAAGUACCGUGAGGGAAAGUUGAAAAGUACUUUGAAGAGAGAGUAAACAGUGCGUGAAACCGAUCAGAGGUAAGCGGGUGGAGUUGAACUGCAAGCUCUGAGAAUUCAGCUGGUGAGUGUGGUUUGAGCUUGGUCAAGUCAGUUGGACUCUGUGGUCUUCGUAGCACUUAGCAAGUGUUGUGGGUCAUGGAUGUUCCUCGGGCUGACUCGCCGGUGCACUUUCUCAGAGUGGUCACCACGACCGGCAUCGCUGUCUGGCUGGUGGGGUUAAACCGGUUUUGCAAGGUCCUUGUGGCUCUGCUUGAUCGGGAUGGCAGGUAGCUCGUUGGUUUGCUUGCGGUUCGCCGUGGGCGUAGCUUUCGAGUGUAAUCAGCUGACCACAUCGGUUCUGUGCAGUAUGUCGGAGACGGCGGCUAGUGCGCGUGCGUGCAUAGCUGGUCGGCGCGUCCGAGUUUGGUUGUUAUGUUGCCUGUUUAAUCAGGCCUG